GCGGGAGUUGCCAAGACUGGUUAAAAAAAUUGGAUAUUACAGCCUUUUUUUACUAAAGGCGCUGGACUCAGAAUCCAGUCUCGUAGGAGUUCGGGGGUUCAAAUCCCUCCUCCCGCA
rnacentral:tRNA from 1 species